GAUGAAUGAUAGUGCUCAGGCUCAUGCGGCUGGAGUGUGUCAGCCAUUCCUGCAUGACAAAAGCAUUGAUGCUAUGGACUGGCCUGCCCAUUCACCAGCCCUGAAUCCAAUCCUGCACCUCUGAGACACGAUGUCAAGUUUCAUCCACCGCCGCCAUGUUGCACCACAGAUUGUCCAGGGGUUGACUGAUGCCCUGAUCCAAGUCUGGGAGGAGAUCCCUCAGGAGAACAUCCAUCAUUUCAUCAGGAGCAUGCCCAGACAUUAAAGGGAAUGCAGGUGGAAACCACACACACUACUGAACCUCAUUUUGAGUUGUCUUGAGGGAUUUCCACAGAUGAUGGGUCAGCCUGUGAUCAGAUCUUUCCACUUUUAUUGUAUUCGGAGUAUGAUUCUGAAUCCAGACUUCCAUGGGUUAAUGAUUUUGCUCUUCUUUGAUCAUUUGUGUGUUGUUCUCAACACAUUCCGUUAUGUAAUGAAUAAAUAACUGUAAUAUGCCAUUCAUGAAGAUGUAAGAUAUAUUUAAGUGUUUCCUUUUAUUGUUUUUUAGAAGUAAAUCGUUUUUACCCACCCUGACAUCUUGUAUCUGGUUGCCAUCCAUCAGCUGAUGCUCCAGUACUUUCAGACUCUCUGCAGCCACCAUCAUCACACGUUGCAGCAUCUAACACAUGAAAAUCAGUGGCUGCUCCAAGGAACUGCAGAGGCAGCUACAGACUGAAACCAGUGCCUGGACUGCAUCAGAACUUCUCUAGACCUGCCCUUUCACAGAUGAAGCAUAAACCCUGUCUACCACCAGCCAGCUACUGUGGUCCUGCCAAAAACAAUACUUCUGGGAAAAUAUGUGAUGGUCUGAACCAUGAACCGCUAAACAAACACUACAAGAGAGAAAAAGACGAUCAGCUGAUCAACAGCCGUCAUGAUUCACGGAACAAUCAGAGAGGGAGGAAGCAGCUGCUGCAGAAACAGAGAUGACCAGAGAGCCAAUAGAGCAGACACGGUGGUGCAAAACGCAGGAUAAGUAAAAAAAAUAAUAAUAAUUUUGGAAAAGUGCAGGUGUGGAACCCUCUCACCAGGAAACGUGUUAAAACACCCUCAUUCUCCACAGUCUGUGGGUUGCUCAAUUAAUGUUGUAUUCAUUCUCAAAUCCAUCCAUCUUUUUCAUUUGGCCUCUCCAUUUCCCGCCACCAUAACAGAGAAAUGAUGAAUGUAUGGGGCUUGUCAUGUUAUGUUUGCGUUAAAAAAUGUUAACACAAUUAAUUACAUAAAUUAGUUACCGCCCUUAACGAGGUUUUUUGGAGUCAUAGUAUUAACAGUUACAAAUUUGAAGGCUGAUGAAGACAGCAUAAUCAGAACUACAGCAACAGUGGAAGGUUUGGACACACUUUCUAAUUCAAAAACUGUAUCCAUGCUUUUUGCUUGCACUAUAAUUCAUUUUCAAAACAGCCUUCCAUGAGGAACGUUCCCUGUGAUAGCUAAGUGGUAAUAAUAAAAUGGUAAAUAAAACUCAGGGUGACGUCUCUUGUCAUGACGUCACAGCACACAGAGAUCCUGCUCUUUGCCAGUGUUAUAAAGGAGG